rnacentral:lncRNA from 1 species
UUUGUUAUUCAUAUUAUUAGCAAGUCUUUGAUUUCUUAACGAUCGAAUCUAAUCUAGUAAGAGGCCCCCAUUGAUUAGAACAGAAAAUUGCGGAACUAAGCCCACCCCAAAACGAGUGCUCUCCUAUUUGCACUUCCCCAGAGCUCUACCAAUACAGUUGUCAGUCAUAUUAUUUUACAAGUACCUAAUCUACGCGAUUGAAAGCUGUUAAACCUCUACUGUAUUUCCAAGAUAAACUGAAAUAAAUUAUUACCUGCCAUGAAUCAUAAGCAGCAUUGAGAAUGAACAGAGGGGUUCUGACGUUGGCAAUUAAAUUCUGAGGGAAGAAGCACUAUACACAAAAAAAAGAUAUGAAAUCGUAAAUGGCUAAUUGCUAAACUAGAAAAACAUAGUAAGAAUUUCAUUAUCUUCUCAACCAAAAACAACAAAAAAAUAGUCUCACCGAAGUUGGAUCCAGAUGAUUGGUACAAGUGCUUGGCAGAUUCCUCUGGACACCCUAUUAAAAUUUGUGGGAACUUGAAGCAUUAAUUUGAGGUGUCAUGUCUAGUACAAAUUGUUUCAAAUUUCAAACAUGUUGAGGGGCGCUGUUGGAAACUUGCUGGAUAAAAGUGUGAUUUUAAAAGGAGAAAAAAACUACAUCCUAUUGCGACAAACUUCAGCGUUUAGAAAAGGAAAUGUUCAAGUGGGAUAGAUAUAAGGACUGGAAAAGAGAGCACUAUCAGUGACCCUCUCACAUUGUUUAGCCAAAGGUUUUAUGCUCUGUUGAAUUCCAAAAACUGUUAUUUUUCCUAUUCAUAUCACCUUUGGUCCAAAACCACAACCGACCCUUAGUUUACUUUUGUCCAUUCCGCUUAUUUUCCUAGGAAUUCCAAAUUCUUCAGUUAAUUCUUUGGUUCAAUGCAUAAUAAUUAAUUUUUGGACUCUUUAUCAAAAAGUAUAAUUACCCAAACUGUCUCUAGUUUGUUGUGUUCUUCUCAAACUGCAAAAACACACAUCAAAAUGAACUUGCAUCGCCCAUCGACUGUUUCUCUCUUUUAUCCAUCCUAUAUUUUCUAUUCCACAAAUUGCCUACUUGAGCAUAACCUUUUGCAUGUUGGACGCAACCAAGAAUAUAGGAGUUCUAUAUUUGUGUGUGUGCAUGAAAACCUAAAAGGAAAUUCAUACUCAUGGUUAUACCUUGUUCCCAAUUACUGGAGAAUCAUCCGCAAACCAGGUAUCCUGCCUCUCGGACUGGCAGUGAGCAAAGCAUGAAUUUAGGAAUAGCCCAUUUUGUCUAGAUUUCGCAAAGCCUUUUACUGCAUUCAUCAUAUGAGCCCUAAAACCUGCUCAACAACAGUUUUUAUUGAUCGAUUCAUUCUCCUUGGAUAUGAAAACAAGAUUAAGAAAUAUCAAGCAGAUACAGUCACUCACCUUGCAGAAAUUGGAUUUGGGAUGCUGAACAUCGUGCAUUGUUCAUUUUACAGUCGUGCCAAUUACCACGAGGAUCAGCUAUCGGAGGAGCCAAGCUUUCUUGGACCUAAAUAAGAAAUAAAAACAGAGAUUUAAUUUACUACAUUUGUUAUUCAUAUUAUUAGCAAGUCUUUGAUUUCUUAACGAUCGAAGACUAAUAAUUAAAACUCCAUCUGAUUUCUAAAUGUUUUCUGAAGGUCCAGUCUUCCUCAGUACGAAUCUAAUCUAGUAAGAGCCCCCCAUUGAUUAGAACAGAAAAUUGCGGAACUAAGCCCACCCCAAAACGAGUGCUCUCUUAUUUGCACUUCCCCAGAGCUCUACCAAUACAGUUGUCAGUCAUAUUUUUUUACAAGUACCUAAUCUACGCGAUUGAAAGCUGUUAAACUUCUACUGUAUUUCCAAGAUAAACUGAAAUAAAUUAUUACCUGCCAUGAAUCAUAAGCAGCAUUGAGAAUGAACAGAGGGGUUCUGACGUUGGCAAUUAAAUUCUGAGGGAAGAAGCACUAUACACAAAAAAAGAUAUGAAAUCGUAAAUGGCUAAUUGCUAAAAUAGAAAAACAUAGUAAGAAUUUCAUUAUCUUCUUAACCAAAAACAACAAAAAAAUAGUCUCACCGAAGUUGGAUCCAGAUGAUUGGUACAAGUGCUUGGCAGAUUCCUCUGGACACCCUAUUAAAAUUUGUGGGAACUUGAAGCAUUAAUUUGAGGUGUCAUGUCUAGUACAAAUUGUUUCAAAUUUCAAACAUGUUGAGGGGCGCUGUUGGAAACUUGCUGGAUAAAAGUGUGAUUUUAAAAGGAGAAAAAAACUACAUCCUAUUGCGACAAACUUCAGCGUUUAGAAAAGGAAAUGUUCAAGUGGGAUAGAUAUAAGGACUGGAAAAGAGAGCACUAUCAGUGACCCUCUCACAUUGUUUAGCCAAAGGUUUUAUGCUCUGUUGAAUUCCAAAAACUGUUAUUUUUCCUAUUCAUAUCACCUUUGGUCCAAAACCACAACCGACCCUUAGUUUACUUUUGUCCAUUCCGCUUAUUUUCCUAGGAAUUCCAAAUUCUUCAGUUAAUUCUUUGGUUCAAUGCAUAAUAAUUAAUUUUUGGACUCUUUAUCAAAAAGUAUAAUUACCCAAACUGUCUCUAGUUUGUUGUGUUCUUCUCAAACUGCAAAAACACACAUCAAAAUGAACUUGCAUCGCCCAUCGACUGUUUCUCUCUUUUAUCCAUCCUAUAUUUUCUAUUCCACAAAUUGCCUACUUGAGCAUAACCUUUUGCAUGUUGGACGCAACACCAGAACUGCAUCUUAGUACUCGGAGGAACAAUUUAAAAUAGGUGCACAUAAUGUCAAGAGAUAAGGAAUAAAGCAGAGCUGUAGAGGGCUACAAGUUCACUAAAAACUUUAGGAUACAGCAGUCCUUAGAUAAACUGAUUGCAAAUGCAUUUACAAUAGAGAAAAGAAAAAUAUCGAUAAUUUAUGCAAUAAGACAACAUCAACUUUCCGUGAGGGUUUGAAAUUUAGUAGUAAUGCAUCAUUUCUUUGAUAAAUUUGCAAAGUAUCACAAUAUCAUUACCAAUGUAUCAAAUUAGUGCCCAAACCUAACCUAUAAAAUUACAUGUAGGACUAUCAGAAUAGGGCAACGUGCCACGGCAGGUACAUAGGGAAAACAAUAUUUUUGUUUCAAUAAGUACCUGUAAGCUUACUACACCAGCAAAGAAAUUUCUAAUCGUGUGUCCACCAGAUACAUCAAUGCUGAAAAUCAAAGGAAGAAUUAUAAAAUAAUACUAAAAGGCAGAGUUAUGGAUCAUAUAACUGCACAACUUAAACAGGGCAUAACUAAAAAGACAGAAUUGGAAAAUUACACGUCCAUAAAUAAUCCAGCAUCACUCAAGCACUUCACUUUGGUUCUUCCUGGAAUGUGAUAUUAAAAGGAGAAAAAAACUACAUCCUAUUGCGACAAACUUCAGCGUUUAGAAAAGGAAAUGUUCGAGUGGGAUAGAUAUAAGGACUGGAAAAGAGAGCACUAUCAGUGACCCUCUGACAUUGUUUAGCCAAAGAUUUUAUGCUCUGUUGAAUUCCAAAAACUGUUAUUUUUCCUAUUCAUGUCACCUUUGGUCCAAAACCACAACCGACCCUUAGUUUACUUUUGUCCAUUCCGCUUAUCUUCCUAGGAAUUCCAAAUUCUUCAGUUAAUUCUUUGGUUCAAUGCAUAAUAAUUAAUUUUUAGAUGCUUUAUCAAAAAGCAUAACUACCCAAACUGUCUCUAGUUUGUUUGUUCUUCUCAAACUGCAAAAACACACAUCAAAAUGAACUUGCAUCGCCCAUCUACUGUUUCUCUCUUUUAUCCAUCCUAUAUUUUCUAUUCCACAAAUUGCCUACUUGAGCAUAACCUUUUGCAUGUUGGACGCAACACCAGAACUGCAUCUUAGUACUCGGAGGAACAAUUUAAAAUAGGUGCACAUAAUGUCAAGAGAUAAGGAAUAAAGCAGAGCUGUAGAGGGCUACAAGUUCACUAAAAACUUUAGGAUACAGCAGUUCUUAGAUAAACUGAUUGCAAAUGCAUUUACAAUAGAGAAAAGAAAAAUAUCGAUAAUUUAUGUAAUAAGACAACAACUUUCCGCGAGGGUUUGAAAUUUAGUAGUAAUGCAUCAUUUCUUUGAUAAAUUUGCGAAGUAUCACAAUAUCAUUACCAAUGUAUCAAAUUAGUGCCCAAACCUAACCUAUAAAAUUACAUGUAGGACUAUCAGAAUAGGGCAACAUGCCACAGCAGGUACACAGGGAAAAC